GCACAAGCAGUGGAGUAUGUGGUUUAAUUCGACGCAACGCGAAGAACCUUACCAAGUCUUGACAUCCCUUGACGAUGCUGGAAACAGUAUUUCUCUUCGGAGCAAGGAGACAGGUGGUGCAUGGUUGUCGUCAGCUCGUGUCGUGAGAUGUUGGGUUAAGUCCCGCAACGAGCGCAACCCUUAUGGUCAGUUACUACGCAAGAGGACUCUGGCCAGACUGCCGUUGACAAAA
rnacentral:rRNA from 1 species